rnacentral:RNase_P_RNA from 2 species
CAACUGUAGUAAAUGAUCGCGGCUUAUCGGGCGCGCAGGCGUUUUCGAUAAGGUGAGGAAAGUCCGGGCUUCGCAGGGCAGGAUGCCGGAUAACGUCCGGUGGAGGUGACUCCAAGGCUAGUGCAACAGAAAUAUACCGCCAGAACGGGAGUUUGUCUCGUUCCGGUAAGGGUGGAAAGGCAGUGUAAGAGACUACCGUGUGGCUGGUAACAGCCAUAGCCAUGUAAACCCCAUCCGAAGCAAGACCAAACAAGAAACAAGAGACUUGCCCGGUCUGUUUCUAGGUAGGUCGCUUGAGGCUGAUGGCAACGUCAGCCCUAGAUAGAUGAUCAUUCGUGCUGCUGCGAAGGUGGCAGCACUGACAGAACCCGGCUUAUCGCUGCGGUUGCCAA